CAACUUCCACCUGGCUUACCUUUUCAGUCUUGUGUCAUUGCUUGUAUCGCAUUGAAUGCAUGGUGGGUUUCUUGUGUUGCAUGCCUAAUUGAUGGUAUCAUUUGAAGAAUUGAUGUCCCUUUUCAUCUUGUGUUGCACAUGCGAUGUGAGAUGAACCUUGAAGUAGCCUUUGUGAUCCACUCUUUCGAUGUACACGCAUUGAUUUUGUGGCCCGCUGUGUGUUGCUUGGUCUCAUGGAUAUGGAACCUGGUGUGGGCAUGGGAUCUUUACUAGUUCCUUGUUUGCCCUGGUUUAGCUUUUCUAAUACGAUUGUUUAUCACAUUUUAAUGUGGUAGGCUAUAUCGGAUAUGAAUGCUACCUGGUUGAUCCUGCC
rnacentral:misc_RNA from 1 species